rnacentral:rRNA from 1 species
AACGAACGCUGGCGGCAUGCCUAACACAUGCAAGUCGAACGAUACCUUCGGGUCUUGUCGCGCACGGGUGCGUAACGCGUGGGAACCUGCCCUUAGGUUCGGAAUAACUCCCCGACAGGGGUGCUAAUACCGGAUAAUGUCUUCGGACCAAAGAUUUAUCGCCUUUGGAUGGGCCCGCGUUGGAUUAGCUAGUUGGUAGGGUAAAAGCCUACCAAGGCAGCGAUCCAGAGCUGGUCCGAGAGGAUGAUCACGCACACUGGGACUGAGACACGGCCCAGACUCACACGGGGGGCAGGAGCAGGGAAUUGUGAGCAAUGGGGGCAAGCAUGAAGGAGCAAAGCCGGCGGAGCGAAGAGGGUGUAAGGAUAGUAAAGAGCUGCAAUUAGGGAAGAAAAAACGCGGACGAAAACAUGCCGCUCUGGACGGUACCUGAACAGAAAGCCAAGGCUAACUAGGUG